UGGGGAAUAUUGCACAAUGGGCGCAAGCCUGAUGCAGCCAUGCCGCGUGUAUGAAGAAGGCCUUCGGGUUGUAAAGUACUUUCAGUCGGGAGGAAGGUGGUAAGGUUAAUAACCUUAUCAAUUGACGUUACCGACAGAAGAAGCACCGGCUAACUCCGUGCCAGCAGCCGCGGUAAUACGGAGGGUGCAAGCGUUAAUCGGAAUUACUGGGCGUAAAGCGCACGCAGGCGGUUGAUUGAGUCAGAUGUGAAAUCCCCGGGCUUAACCCGGGAAUUGCAUCUGAUACUGGUCAGCUAGAGUCUUGUAGAGGGGGGUAGAAUUCCAUGUGUAGCGGUGAAAUGCGUGGAGAUGUGGGGGAAUACCGGUGGCGAAGGCGGCCCCCUGGACAAAGACUGACGCUCAGGUGCGAAAGCGUGGGGAGCAAACAGG
rnacentral:rRNA from 1 species